rnacentral:rRNA from 1 species
AUUGAACGCUGGCGGCAGGCCUAACACAUGCAAGUCGAGCGGAUGAAGGGAGCUUGCUCCUGGAUUCAGCGGCGGACGGGUGAGUAAUGCCUAGGAAUCUGCCUGGUAGUGGGGGAUAACGUCCGGAAACGGGCGCUAAUACCGCAUACGUCCUGAGGGAGAAAGUGGGGGAUCUUCGGACCUCACGCUAUCAGAUGAGCCUAGGUCGGAUUAGCUAGUUGGUGGGGUAAAGGCCUACCAAGGCGACGAUCCGUAACUGGUCUGAGAGGAUGAUCAGUCACACUGGAACUGAGACACGGUCCAGACUCCUACGGGAGGCAGCAGUGGGGAAUAUUGGGCAAUGGGCGAAAGCCUGAUCCAGCCAUGCCGCGUGUGUGAAGAAGGUCUUCGGAUUGUAAAGCACUUUAAGUCGGGAGGAAGGGCAGUAAGUUAAUACCUUGCUGUUUUGACGUUACCAACAGAAUAAGCACCGGCUAACUUCGUG